AACGAACGCUGGCGGCAGGCUUAACACAUGCAAGUCGAACGCCCCUUCGGGGGAGUGGCAGACGGGUGAGUAACACGUGGGAAUGUGCCCUUAGGUUCGGAAUAACUCGGGGAAACUCGAGCUAAUACCGGAUGUGCCCGAGAGGGGAAAGGUUUACUGCCUGAGGAGCAGCCCGCGUCCGAUUAGCUAGUUGGUGAGGUAAUGGCUCACCAAGGCGACGAUCGGUAGCUGGUCUGAGAGGAUGGCCAGCCACAUUGGGACUGAGACACGGCCCAAACUCCUACGGGAGGCAGCAGUGGGGAAUAUUGGACAAUGGGCGCAAGCCUGAUCCAGCCAUGCCGCGUGAGUGAUGACGGCCUUAGGGUUGUAAAGCUCUUUCGCGCGCGACGAUAAUGACGGUAGCGUGAGAAGAAGCCCCGGCUAACUUCGUGCCAGCAGCCGCCGUAACAC
rnacentral:rRNA from 1 species